UGUUUCUAUUUUUGGGCAGCAAUGUAGUGCCGCCUCCACGUGGCGCUGCCUGGGAUCACUAGUGGUUACUACUGCUAGUGAUGCUAAGAGCACUACAUACAAAAAGAAGAAUAACAUAAUAACAGCUGCAAUUAAAAUGAAAAGUCAAGUGGAUUGAUACUCAAGACUGAAGCUAGAGAUUUAUAUACUAGUUUUAAUUUUUUGAAAAAUAAUUUUUUUUAAUUUU
rnacentral:lncRNA from 1 species